ACAUGACUAAAAAAUAAUGUUAAUUCACUGGAUCCCAUUAGAACUUUGCAGUUAAGUGCGCUCAAGCUAGAGUAGUACCGAGAUGGGUGACCGCCCAGGAAGUCCUAAUGUUUUACAUGCC
rnacentral:rRNA from 1 species